CUGCUUUCAUUCCUUCCCUCAUUUACCAAAUAUUGAUUUAGAACCUACUGUUUGACAGGCUCUGAGCAGCUAGUGAUCAACAUGGCAGACAAGGUCUCUGCUCUCAGAGAGCUUAUAUUCUGUGGCGGAGACAGAGACAAAUUAGCAAGAAGACAGCAGAAACCAAUCCAUGUGAUCACUGGCUCUAUGUCUCCUCCUCAUCAGCUGGAGUCUCAAUCACAAUAGGACACAGGUGAGCCUGAGAUGACGCUAAUAUCAUUCUCCUGGAAUAUGGCUUCCCAACACAAGCACCAUCACCUUCAUCAUCAUCAUCAUCAUCAUCAUCAUCAUCAUCAUCACAGCGAUGACUUGCCCAAGAUCACACAGUUGUUAAGCUGCUGAGCAGGGAUUUGAAUCUGACUCGAACCUAACUACUCACCUGUGGUUAUAUACUCGUAAUUAUAUAUACAUUAAAGUCUCAUUGUGAAUUCUAAGCUGUGUCUAACAUAACACCAAUUGUACAAUAGGUGCUCAAUAAUGUGGCUGCCCUUUCCCACUUUAGGGAAACUCAAUAUGUAAAACUCUAAAGUGGGCAAGGAAAUUAACUAAGGGUCAUUGCCUGCAAUGUACAAGAAAAAAAAAAAAACAACGAGGAGGAAAAAAAAAAGAACGAGGAAACUCCCAACGAUGCACAAAUGCCGUUUGUUCAGAGAUCAUGAACUCACCAAGAGUCUUCAGAAACUAGAGAAAAUUCAACCUAAGGUGUUCAGUGCCAUCUCCUGUUGAAGAUAAAUUCAAUGUAAAAGCAGAUCUCGGCUCUGAAAAUAUCCCUGGGAACACUAGCAUUAAUGUACAUUAUUGCAUAACCAGGUUGUAAAAAUUUCAUUUUCCCUCAACUUCUGGGGAAGGGUGUACCUACUACUACUUAAUGUUAGCAGACUUUUUUCUUUGUUUCUAUUUCUACUAUAACAAUAUUAUUAAAACAUAAAAUUAGGAAAAGAAUCAUUGAGGCCAAGGCUACUCGCUCUGCACGGCAUCUGAUAUUAUUCCAUCCUUGACAUCAUUGCCUUUUCUACUUUUGGGUUUUUAUUUUAUUUUUACCUCUCCUGCUCUGUUUGGGGAUGUGAAUUCCCCCAAAAGCUCAGGAGCCAGGCACUCCUGGCUACAGAAGCCAAAUAGAUUUUAACCCAGCCUGAACUUUUGAGGUAAGCCACCAAAACACCCUUCUCCUAGGCAAAAUGCUUUUUUCUUUCCUGUAAGUCUACUGCAGAAAUUACAUUUUAAAAUAUUGAAAAGAGAAACAUAUUUUCCCACAAUCCCACCACUCUAACCCGGUAACUACCUUUCUUUUCUUUUUUUGUGUGUGUUGGUCGCAAGUCUCAUAUCUAUAAGUGCACGUAAGAGAACUGUAACUCUAGCAAACAUAGCAUUUCCAUUCGUUUUUCUCUUAAUGUUCUAUUAUUAUGCAGAUUUUUCCUAGGUCACUACAGUCUUCAUAUUCAUCAUUGUUUGAAAGAUGCCAAACGUUCCAUUGAGCAAGUGUUUCCAUUUUCCAUAAUGUUUCAAU
rnacentral:lncRNA from 1 species